GCCCAAUGACUACUCAAAACCCGCCCAUAAGGCCUGAAAACUAGGCCCUUUUUCCAAUAACGUAGUCGAACGAGUUAAGAAGGAAUAUCGACCUCCCUUCUAACCCAAGAAAACUCGAGGAUGUAAUCGCUUCCAAAGAUGCUUCAACAAAGUACCGAGUAAAGAGUCUGAAUACUUAUGUAAAUGUGAUAUUUCAAUUUGUUAUUUUUAAUACAUUUGCAAAAAUGUCCAAAAACUGUUUUUACUUUGUCAUUAUUGUGAUUCGAGGAAAAAAAUAUUUAAUAAAUUUUAGAAUAAAGCUGUAACAUAACAAUGUUGAAAAAGUCAAGGGGUCUGAAUAAUUUCCGAAUGCACUGUAUGAAAACAUGUAUAAUGCUUCACUUGUUAUGAGCAUAUACCUGAAAUGUGUGUAGAGACCUCUCACCUGGUACGUUAGAUUGUAAACAUACAAUAACUGUCAUUCAAGAGGCAUGUUAAAUGUAUUUUUUAAAUAGAUUUGUUUUGCUUAAUGGCCUUGAAUUUGCCGGUCAGCUCGAGAGACGGGGGACAGGACCACGGACUGCCCCAUUGGAUGCUGCAGCAGAGUUUGUGUUUGUUCCGACUGAGAAGGUGAAGAGUGGGAGAUUAUUUCAUCUGCAGUACAACUCCACCAAGGAUCACUACUGCAGGGUGUCCAGUGACAAUGAGGACAUCCAGGGACAAGCCUGUGUGGAGGAAAGAGUCUGUUCAGGAAGCUGAAGAAUGACUGGCAGAUGCUUUGUUUUCCUCCAUGUCAUAAACGAUAAGAUGCCAUGCUCUUAAUGAUUCAAUGCAGUUCUUAUAUUGACACAUCAAUGGGAAUACUUUGUGCUACUUUUCUGUCUUUUUUCUGUUGGUCAGUCUUUGUGAUUGUUAAAGCAAUGGCAUUACUUUUUAGCAGAAAUAAUAAUCUAUUAUUUAUUGAGCAUUUAUCAAUCUAUCCAAACUUGGAUAUGUUGCUUCUAUAGGAUAUGUGUAUAUCAACUGUAAAUGUUCCAUAUUUAUGCUGUCUUAUUCCUGUCAGUAAAUGCACGUUAUGUCCUGUCAGGUGUAUCUAGCUCGUACAGAGGGCUCAUCGUCAGGGAACAUCAGUUGGAAGUUGGACUGUGCUCCUGUAGGGAUGAAGAUAAAGACUGUCUCAGUCAGAAUAUGCAGCCAGACCUUUCACUCUGGAACCGGCCGCUGGGGUCUGCAGUCUGGACAGAACACAACAUCGUUCUCAGGAGGUGGAUGGAGAUGCAUUCUGUUCCGGGUCUUUCUUGAUCCUUGGAGCUGGUCAAGGAGGCGGAGCUAGAUGGAGGAGAGGGAUAGUCGUCAUGGCAACACUCCCAGAUGUUCUGGCGGGCUUUGAAUGAGCCGAAGGAAUCCUGAUUUGAAAUCCUUGUCAAGAUGGAGGAGGACUACGCUUAAUGAGUGUGUUCGAUCGCUCUGAGCAAGGCGCUACGUUGGUUUGCUGAUCUUAAUAAAGCAAUGCGUAGUUAUUUUGGGAUGCAACAUGAUGUAUAGAUCAGUGAUUCUGCUCAGUGCCUUGCUUAAGAUAAUCACCUUGAAUACACCGACUCUGUGCAUAGUCAUGUAUAGUGUGUAUAUUCAUAGGCAUCUUGGUGCUUAUGAGAUAAACGGAGGAGUAGUAGUUUGGUGAUAUUGUUUGUGGGUAUGGAUGGAUGGAUGGUAAGAUAGUCCAAUAAUUAUUCGGGAUCUGUGUGUCUUGAAUCAAUAAUCUUGUAUUGAUUACAGAUCUUGUAAUGAUGCUGCUUGGAUAUUUACUACCAGUAAUGUCGUGAGACCCAGACCCAGCUUCUGUAUGACACAAAAGCCUUUGUUAUCUAGACUGUCUCUGCCAAAAGAGGAGUUACUUACUUGACUUAAUCCUCUUUGAGCCUUUGGGAGCACAUGGCAUCCACCAUGGCUUUCCAACUCAAAGGGGACUAUGGAUCAGUAUGGCCUGGCUGCAACAACCUGCCAUAACAAGGUUCUGGCUCCUGACACAGAAUAGGGAUAUAUGACCUGUGAGCCUAAAGUCCAUCUGCUAUGGAAUUUCCACUCAUUUUUUGAAGAAACCAAUAUUAUAUGUGUAAUUGUUAAAUGUAAUGUUUGAAUGGACACCAGAAAGCCAUGUAACUAUUGAUAGGUUUUUAUGUCUGUAUCCACAUAUGGUUAUGGAUAUACUAGUAUUCUACAUUUAUUUGUGGUGAAUGCAUGUAUUAGUCACAUGCACCGAAUCCCACAGGUGUAGACCUGACAGUGAAAUACUUACAAGCCCCAAACCAACAAUGCAGUUAAAAAAAAAUACAGAUAAGUAUAAGAAAUAAACAUAACAAGUAAUUUAAGAGCAGCAGUAAAAUAACAAGCGCAAGACUAUAUACAGUGGGAUACCGGUACAGAGUCAAUGUGCAGGGGCACUGGUUAGUUGAGGUAAUAUGUACACGUGGGUAGAGUUAUUAAAGUGACUAUGAAUAGAUGAUAACAACAGAGAGUAGCAGCUGUGUAAAAGAGGGGGAGGGCCAAUGCAAAUAGUCUUGGUAGCCAUUUGAUUAGGUGUUCAGGAGUCUUCUGGCUUGGGGUAGAAGCUGUUUAGAAGCUUCUUGGACCUAGACUUGGCGCUCCGAUCCCGCUUGCCCUGCGGUAGCAGAGAGAUUUUUGAGUAGUGAGUAGUCUAUGACUAGGGUGGCUGGAUUCUUUGACAAUUUUUUAGGGCCUUCCUCUGACACCGCCUUGUAUAGAGGUCCUGGAUGGCAGGGAGCUUGGCCCCAGUGAUGUACUGGGCCGUUCACACUAACCUCUGUAAUGCCUUACAGUCGGAGGCGAGCAGUUGCCAUACCAAGCAGUGAUGCAACCAGUCAGGAUGCUCUCGAUGUUGCAGCUGUAGAAUCUUUUGAGGAUCUGGGGACCUAUGACAAAUAUUUUCAGUCUCCUGAGGGGGAUUAGGUUUUGUCGUUCCCUCUUCACGAUUGUCUUGGUGUGCUUGGACCAUGUUAGUUUGUUGGUGAUGUGGACACCAAGGAACUUGAAGCUCUCAACCUGCUCCACUGCAGCCCCUUUGAUGAGAAUGGGGGCGUGCUCAGUCCUCUUUUUCCUGUAGUCCACAAUCAUCUCCUUAGUCUUGAUCACAUUGAGGGAUAGUUUGUUGUUGGAGUUAAUAUGUUCUUGUUCAAAUAUGUAAAUUGUGCAAUCGUUAUAAUAAAUGUUUAUUUUUUACAGAUUAAA